GAUGAAGAACGUAGCGAAAUGCGAUAAGUAGUGUGAAUUGCAGAAUUCAGUGAAUCAUCGAAUCUUUGAACGCACAUUGCGGCCAUAGGUAUUCCUUUGGCCAUGCCUGUUCGAGCGUCAUUUACACCCUCAAGCCUAGCUUGGUGUUGGGCGCCCGUCCCGCCGUUUUCGCGCGCGGACUCGCCUCAAAGUCAUUGGCGGCGGUCGUGCCGGCCCCCUCGCGCAGCACAUUUGCGCUUCUCGGAGGCCCGGCGGAUCCGCGCUCCAGCAAGACCUUUCACGACUUGACCUCGGAUCAGGUAGGGAUACCCGCUGAACUUAAGCAUAUCAAAAGCGGAGGA
rnacentral:misc_RNA from 1 species